UACGUAGGGGGCAAGCGUUAUCCGGAAUUACUGGGUGUAAAGGGAGCGUAGACGGUUAAGCAAGUCUGGAGUGAAAGGCGGGGGCCCAACCCCCGGACUGCUCUGGAAACUGUGUAACUGGAGUGCAGGAGGGGUGGGCGGAAUUCCUAGUGUAGCGGUGAAAUGCGUAGAUAUUAGGAGGAACACCAGCGGCGAAGGCGGCUUACUGGACUGUAACUGACACUGAGGCUCGAAAGCGUGGGGAGCAA
rnacentral:rRNA from 1 species